rnacentral:tRNA from 1 species
GGCGCGGCCCACCCUUCGAUAAACUCAGGAGGGCCGACGGCCGGUCGGCCUUGCGAAGCUAUGCUUCGGGGGUGGACUUCUGGAUCGCGUAGCAGCGUUUGCGUCGGUAUCUGGGCUUGUAGCUCAGUUGGUUAGAGCACACGCUUGAUAAGCGUGGGGUCGGAGGUUCAAGUCCUCCCAGGCCCACCAUGUUACAUGAUAAGGGGCCGUAGCUCAGCUGGGAGAGCACCUGCUUUGCAAGCAGGGGGUCGUCGGUUCGAUCCCGUCCGGCUCCACCAUCGUGUUUUGGUGUAGAGACGGAUAUUGGCAAUCAACGAAAGAAAGAAACAAGUUUGCGGACUUUUAUGAAAGUCUGCCUGUUCUGUAUGAAAUCGUGAAGAGAAGAUGUAAUCGGAUCAACUAUCCAGUUGAUGUCGCAAGAGCUUGCUCAAGCCUUGCAUUAUGAUUGAUGUGUUUAACCGCCAUCACCGAUUGUAUCU